rnacentral:lncRNA from 1 species
UGUUCUUGCUGUUGUACUUUGCUGUUGUGUGUUUUGCUGUUAACUUAAUAGGACUUUCAGAAAAUAUUGCUCUGUUGUUUGGGUUUGAAAAAAUGAAUUGCUCUGUUGUUCUUGUUUAGGGUUUUGAGAAAAUAUAUCUUGCUUGUUCUGUUGGAUCUCAAAAACGUGUCCUCUCACUGUUAAUUGAUUUUGUUAUAUAUGAAUGUUGGUUUCUGUGAGAUAACUUGUUGGAUCUUGUUUCCAGAUUUUAUGGGAUGUUUGCUUUGUGGAUUUAAGGUUGUUUAUUUGGAUAUUGGAAUGUGUUUUUUUGGGCGUUUUCUUUGAUUCAUCGUGCAACAUACUUACCUGUUUAUUUAAUCAUUUAUUU